CCUUGCAUUGUCAGUCUUAUCAAACUUGCAUGUACCUCCCAAAUUUGGAUUCUGUUCUCCAACUUCAGUUUGCCUCUACCAAUGUUAUGAAACUAAUACACAAUUAAUGCAUAUAUAUAUAUGAUACUACAAACAAACAAACAUGAAGUUUGAAUUUUUGGUGGGGUCGCUUUUACUGUUCUAGAGAUAUGCCCCUUUACAAAAUUAAAAAAAAUGCUGAAUUUUUGUUCCUUUCUUUAACACAAGUUUGCUUCAUCCAAAUGUUCUGAAACUUAUAUGCAAUGCUUACUACAACAACACUCAGAUCAAGUACAAAUUUGGGUGGUGUCACUCUUUUCAUUCUUUAUAUGCAAGCGGUUGCUCAUCUGUGUCCCAUGGACACAUUACCUAUUAUGAACUAGUCUACAUCUAUAUGCUUUUGAAUGUCAAUAAUUGUUGAUUUUCUGACAGAAUUACUCUGAUAUUUAAUUUCAGGCUGCAAGUACAUUUGUACAUGUACAUUGCAAAUGGAAGGAGUGAUCUUGGAAUGUUCAACUUUACUUGGAAACUAUUGGCAAAGUUCUGACAGAAUUUCAUGAGAAGCCAGUAUCAUAUUCUAGUCUUGCAACCGGAAACUAUGCGUAAAGUGCUGAAACUUAAGAACAACAUUCUACAUGUAUAUAUGCAAUAUGUGUUGCCACAAUCCACUUAAGGAGCUAAGAUCAACUAAAAAUUGGAACUACAUGUAUAUGCUUUAGUGCUGUCAAAAUCCUUUAAAAAAAAUCCAAUCAAAAGGACCUACUUCACCUAUAUAUAUUGCUACCUGUCCCAAUGAUGAAUACAGAUCAUAUAUAUGAGUCUUAUAAAAAAAAAAACAGUGAAGGAGAAUAAAAAUAAUGAAAAUAUAGAGCUGAUCAGCAAAGGAUUGUACAUGUACAUGAUGUAUAAAUGGCAACAAUUCUUACAUGUAUACUAGUACAUUGAAAUUAAUUAUAUUAAUAAAUUUUUUUGUAAAUUUGAUCUCAUAGAUAUUAGAGG
rnacentral:lncRNA from 1 species